CAAUAGCGUAUAUUAAUGUUGUUGCAGUUAAAAGCUCGUAGUUGGAUUUCUGGUGGGAGCGGCCGGUCCGCCGUAAGGUGUGUACUUGGUCGUCUCCCGUCAUCCUUGUGGGAACUGCUCUGGCAUUAAGUUGUCGGGGUUAGGGAACACAUCGUUUACUGUGAAAAAUUAAGAGUGUUUAAAGCAGGCUUAUGCCGUUGAAUACAUUAGCAUGGAAUAAUAAGAUAGGACUUUGGCGUCUAUUUUGUUGGUUUGCACACCAAGGUAAUGAUUAAUAGGGAUAGUUGGGGGUAGUUCGUAUUUAAUUAGUCAGAGGUGGAAAUUACUUGGAUUUAUUGAAAGAACGAACUUCUGCGAAAGACAUUUACCUAAAGAAUGUUUUCUAUUAAUCAAGAACGAAAGUUAAGGGGAGUCGAAGACGAUCAGAUACCGU
rnacentral:rRNA from 1 species